GUCGAGCGAACGGACGAGAAGCUUGCUUCUCUGAUGUUAGCGGCGGACGGGUGAGUAACACGUGGAUAACCUACCUAUAAGACUGGGAUAACUUCGGGAAACCGGAGCUAAUACCGGAUAAUAUUUUGAACCGCAUGAUUCAAAAGUGAAAGACGGUCUUGCUGUCACUUAUAGAUGGAUCCGCGCUGCAUUAGCUAGUUGGUAAGGUAACGGCUUACCAGGGCAACGAUGCAUAGCCGACCUGAGAGGGUGAUCGGCCACACUGGAACUGAGACACGGUCCAGACUCCUACGGGAGGCAGCAGUAGGGAAUCUUCCGCAAUGGGCGAAAGCCUGACGGAGCAACGCCGCGUGAGUGAUGAAGGUCUUCGGAUCGUAAAACUCUGUUAUUAGGGAAGAACAUAUGUGUAAGUAACUGUGCACAUCUUGACGGUACCUAAUCAGAAAGCCACGGCUAACUACGUGCCAGCAGCCGCGGUAAUACGUAGGUGGCAAGCGUUAUCCGGAAUUAUUGGGCGUAAAGCGCGCGUAGGCGGUUUUUUAAGUCUGAUGUGAAAGCCCACGGCUCAACCGUGGAGGGUCAUUGGAAACUGGAAAACUUGAGUGCAGAAGAGGAAAGUGGAAUUCCAUGUGUACGGUGAAAUGCGCAGAGAUAUGGAGGAACACCAGUGGCGAAGGCGACUUUCUGGUCUGUAACUGACGCUGAUGUGCGAAAGCGUGGGGAUCAAACAGGAUUAGAUACCCUGGUAGUCCACGCCGUAAACGAUGAGUGCUAAGUGUUAGGGGGUUUCCGCCCUCUUAGUGCUGCAGCUAACGCUAUUAAGCUACUCCGCUCUGGGGAGUACGACCGCAAGGUG
rnacentral:rRNA from 1 species